rnacentral:tRNA from 1 species
GGAAGGAAAACGAUCCUGGUGGAUCGGCCGGACUUCAAAUCCGGUGGAUGGCGCCACGCGCCGUCGGGUGGGUUCGACUCCCAUUUCCUUCCGCCA